AACGAACGCUGGCGGCAUGCCUAACACAUGCAAGUCGAACGAGACCUUCGGGUCUAGUGGCUCACGGGUGCGUAACGCGUGGGAACCUGCCCUUAGGUUCGGAAUAACUCCCUGAAGGGGGUGCUAAUGCCGGAUAAUUUCUUCUGACCAAAGAUUUAUCUCAUUUGUAUGGGCACGAGUUGGUUUAGCUAGUUGGUAGGGUAAAAGCCUACGAAGGCGACGAUCGAUAGCUGGUCUGAGAGGCAGCGCAGCGACACUGGGACUGAGACACGGCGCAGACUCUUAGGGGAUGCAGGAGUGGGGAAUACUGGAAAAUGGCGUGAAUCAUGAUCCAGCAAGGCCGGGAAAGUCAUUAAGUCGGGAGAGUUGUAAAGCACUUUUACCCGGGGUGAUACUGACGGUACCGGGAGAAUAAGCUCCGGCUAACUCCGUG
rnacentral:rRNA from 1 species